rnacentral:rRNA from 1 species
GGUAAUACCGAAUCGAUUGGAUUGCUGUGCAACUUCAGGAAAGGGGAUACGGCNCCGCCUUAAGAUGGGCCCGCGUCCCAUCAGCUAGUUGGUGAGGUAAAGGCCCACCAAGGCGAAGAUGGGUAGCCGGCCUGAGAGGGUGAACGGCCACACUGGGACUGAGAUACGGCCCAGACUCCUACGGGAGGCAGCAGCUAAGAAUAUUCCGCAAUGGACGAAAGUCUGACGGAGCGACGCCGCGUGGAUGAGGAAGGCCGAAAGGUUGUAAAAUCCUUUUGCGAAUGAAGAAUAAGUGCGGUAGGGAAUGAUCGCAUGAUGACGUUAGUUCGCGAAUAAGCCCCGGCUAAUUACGUGCCAGCAGCCGCGGUAACACGUAAGGGGCAAGCGUUGUUCGGAAUUAUUGGGCGUAAAGGGCGCGUAGGCGGCCAUGUAAGUCCGGUGUGAAAUACCCAGGCUCAACCUGGGAACUGCAUUGGAAACUGCAAGGCUUGAGUCACGGAGGGGGAAUCGGAAUUCCUGGUGUAGGGGUGAAAUCUGUAGAUAU